UUGACGGGGCCGCACAAGCGGUGGAGCAUGUGGUUUAAUUCGUAAGCAACGCGUAAGAACCUUACCAGGUCUUGACAUCCCGAUGCUAUUUCUAGAGAUAGAAAGUUACUUCGGUACAUCGGUGACAGGUGGUGCAUGGUUGUCGUCAGCUCGUGUCGUGAGAUGUUGGGUUAAGUCCCGCAACGAGCGCAACCCCUAUUGUUAGUUGCCAUCAUUCAGUUGGGCACUCUAGCGAGACUGCCGGUAAUAAACCGGAGGAAGGUGGGGAUGACGUCAAAUCAUCAUGCCCCUUAUGACCUGGGCUACACACGUGCUACAAUGGUUGGUACAACGAGUUGCGAGUCGGUGACGGCGAGCUAAUCUCUUAAAGCCAAUCUCAGUUCGGAUUGUAGGCUGCAACCCGCCUACAUGAAGUCGGAAUCGCUAGUAAUCGCGGAUCAGCACGCCGCGGUGAAUACGUUCCCGGGCCUU
rnacentral:rRNA from 1 species